rnacentral:rRNA from 1 species
UAUACAUGACUCUGCGCAUAUCAAUAAGCGGAGGAAAAGAAACUAACAAGGAUUCCCUUAGUAACGGCGAGUGAAGCGGGAAGAGCUCAAAUUUGAAAUCUUCAAGGUUCUACCUUGACGAAUUGUAGUUUAUAGAAGUGUUUUCUGUUAGUAGAGUGGCAAAAGUUCUUUGGAAUAGGACAUCAUAGAGGGUGAGAAUCCCGUAUUUGGUCAUUCUUUCUAGCUUUGUGAUACACUUUCAACGAGUCGGAUUGUUUGGGAAUGCAGUCCAAAAUGGGUGGUAAAUUUCAUCUAAAGCUAAAUAUUGGCGAGAGACCGAUAGCGAACAAGUACCGUGAGGGAAAGAUGAGAAGAACUUUGAAAAGAGAGUUAAACAGUACGUGAAAUUGUCAAAAGGGAAGCGUUUGACACCAGUGUUGUUUAGUUGAAAAUCAAUUCAAUAGUUUUUGAUUCUAAGUAGUCAUUGACUUCAUCAGCUUGCUGCUUUCUUCUCAGAAAUUAUUGAAUGCACUUUUCAGUUAACAAGUCAACAUCAAUUUCUUUUGUUGUAAAAGGGUGAGAGGAAGGUGGCUUGCGCUUCGGCUCAAGUGUUUAUAGCCUUUUAUCUCUGCAAUCGGAGAGAUUGAGGUCUGCAGCGUAGAUCCUUCGGGGUUAGAUACAUUGGUGCUAAGCUAUAGCCUUGUAUAGACAACUUGUUGACUAUGCUCAGUCAUGUAGCUUACUCGCUUAUGCUAAUUUUACCUACGCUUAGGAUGUUGACACACGCGCGUGCUCG